GGCCUUGUGGCUCAAUCGGCAGAGUAUCGGUUUCCGACGCCGGUGAUUGUGGGUUCGAGUCCUACCAAGGUCG